rnacentral:rRNA from 1 species
UACGUAGGGUCCGAGCGUUGUCCGGAAUUACUGGGCGUAAAGAGCUCGUAGGUGGUUUGUCGCGUUGUCCGUGAAAACUCACAGCUCAACUGUGGGCGUGCGGGCGAUACGGGCAGACUGGAGUACUGCAGGGGAGACUGGAAUUCCUGGUGUAGCGGUGGAAUGCGCAGAUAUCAGGAGGAACACCGGUGGCGAAGGCGGGUCUCUGGGCAGUAACUGACGCUGAGGAGCGAAAGCGUGGGGAGCGAACGGG